rnacentral:rRNA from 1 species
CCUACGGGAGGCAGCAGUGGGGAAUAUUGGGCAAUGGGCGCAAGCCUGACCCAGCAACGCCGCGUGAAGGAAGAAGGCUUUCGGGUUGUAAACUUCUUUUCUGGGGGACGAACAAAUGACGGUACCUGAUGAAUAAGCCACGGCUAACUACGUGCCAGCAGCCGCGGUAAUACGUAGGUGGCAAGCGUUAUCCGGAUUUACUGGGUGUAAAGGGCGUGUAGGCGGGAAAGCAAGUCAGAUGUGAAAACCAUGGGCUCAACCUGUGGCCUGCAUUUGAAACUGUUUUUCUUGAGUACUGGAGAGGCAGACGGAAUUCCUAGUGUAGCGGUGAAAUGCGUAGAUAUUAGGAGGAACACCAGUGGCGAAGGCGGUCUGCUGGACAGCAACUGACGCUGAGGCGCGAAAGCGUGGGGAGCAAACAGGAUUAGAUACCCCAGUAGUC